UGUGAGGGUGAGCUGAGCUCCCCAAACUGAGAUAUUUUGUGUUUACAGGUCAUAUGAGCUAAAAACUCUCCGUUGGAUAGUCCAAUUUAUGGUUGGACUCUGUUCGUUUUUUUUCCUUAAAAUUAGACUACAAUUAUGGGCCUUAUAGUUGGGCUAAGAAUAAUUAAGCUUACUACGGGCUUUAGGCCUUAUGUUGACUCAAAUCCUAGUGCCGGUCCGGCCCAGAAUUUGGAUCGUGAGAUGUUACAUUCUCAUAACCUUCAAAUUGUAACUCGAUUUGAAAAUCAUGUGAUGGGAUUCAAAAUGAAUAUUUAUGAGGUUUGUAGUUAUAAUAGGGGUUCUAUGACUAUACAAAUAGUGAAAUAAGGGAACAAAAAUAGAAGACCAAUCAUUUUUGUGGUUCCUUGUUAGAUAAUAUUAAAUCUAAUAGGGACGAAAUAUUUUAUGAUUCCUA
rnacentral:misc_RNA from 1 species